UAGCAUUCACUGAUAGACCUGUUGCCGUAAUUGGUGGCUCCAGGUUUGCACACGGAUGCGACAGUAACUUUCCUCACGAUAUCUGGCCAUCAGAAGGGUGGCUGGAAAGAAUUAAAUUGGGGAGAAUAAGA